rnacentral:rRNA from 2 species
AAGGUGGGAUAGAUGAUUGGGGUGAAGUCGUAACAAGGUAGCCGUAUCGGAAGGUGCGGCUGGAUCACCUCCUUUCUAAGGAA